GAUGAACGCUGGCGGCGUGCCUAAUACAUGCAAGUCGAGCGAACAGAUGAGGAGCUUGCUCCUCUGACGUUAGCGGCGGACGGGUGAGUAACACGUGGAUAACCUACCUAUAAGACUGGGAUAACUUCGGGAAACCGGAGCUAAUACCGGAUAAUAUAUUGAACCGCAUGGUUCAAUAGUGAAAUACGGUUUUGCUGUCACUUAUAGAUGGAUCCGCGCCGCAUUAGCUAGUUGGUAAGGUAACGGCUUACCAAGGCAACGAUGCGUAGCCGACCUGAGAGGGUGAUCGGCCACACUGGAACUGAGACACGGUCCAGACUCCUACGGGAGGCAGCAGUAGGGAAUCUUCCGCAAUGGGCGAAAGCCUGACGGAGCAACGCCGCGUGAGUGAUGAAGGUCUUCGGAUCGUAAAACUCUGUUAUUAGGGAAGAACAAAUGUGUAAGUAACUAUGCACGUAUUGACGGUACCUAAUCAGAAAGCCACGGCUAACUACGUG
rnacentral:rRNA from 1 species